rnacentral:rRNA from 1 species
AAUAAUAAUAAUAAAUUGUUGAAUGCACCAGUUCCCAAUUGAUCGCUGGAGUUAAGCAACCUUGCGCAUGGUUGGUACCUGGACGGGUUAGCGUCUAGCAAAUCGUGUGCUGCUGUUC